rnacentral:rRNA from 1 species
CCUACGGGGGGCAGCAGUGAGGAAUAUUGGUCAAUGGCCGCAGGGCUGAACCAGCCAAGUCGCGUGAGGGAUGACGGUCCUAUGGAUUGUAAACCUCUUUUGUCAGGGAGCAAAGGGCGCCACGUGUGGCGCUUUGCGAGUACCUGAAGAAACAGCAUCGGCUAACUCCGUGCCAGCAGCCGCGGUAAUACGGAGGAUGAGAGCGUUAUCCGGAUUUAUUGGGUUUAAGGGGUGCGCAGGCGGAAUGUCAAGUCAGCGGUAAAAUUUCGGGGCUCAACCCCGUCGUGCCGUUGAAACUGGCGUUCUUGAGUGAGCGAGAAGUAUGCGGAAUGCGUGGUGUAGCGGUGAAAUGCAUAGAUAUCACGCAGAACUCCGAUUGCGAAGGCAGCAUACCGGCGCUCAACUGACGCUCAUGCACGAAAGCGUGGGUAUCGAACAGGAUUAGAUACCCUGGUAGUC